ACCGGGGACCCCGCACAAGCGGUGGAUGAUGUGGAUUAAUUCGAUGCGACGCGAAAAACCUUACCUACCCCUUGACAUGCCAGGAACUUGCCAGAGAUGGCUUGGUGCUCGAAAGAGAGCCUGGACACAGGUGCUGCAUGGCCGUCGUCAGCUCGUGUCGUGAGAUGUUGGGUUAAGUCCCGCAACGAGCGCAACCCUUGUCAUUAGUUGCUACGAAAGGGCACUCUAAUGAGACUGCCGGUGACAAACCGGAGGAAGGUGGGGAUGACGUCAGGUCAUCAUGGCCCUUAUGGGUAGGGCUACACACGUCAUACAAUGGCCGGUACAGAGGGCUGCCAACCCGCGAGGGGGAGCUAAUCCCAGAAAACCGGUCGUAGUCCGGAUCGCAGUCUGCAACUCGACUGCGUGAAGUCGGAAUCGCUAGUAAUCGCGGAUCAGCUUGCCGCGGUGAAUACGUUCCCGGGUCUUGUACACACCGCCCGUCACACCAUGGGAGUGGGGUUUACCAGAAGUAGGUAGCUUAACCGCAAGGAGGGCGCUUACCACGGUGAGCUUCAUGACUGGGGUGAAGUCGUAACAAGGUAGCCGUAUCGGAAGGUGCGGCUGGAUCACCU
rnacentral:rRNA from 1 species